UAUUUUUGAAACGACAUUUGAGACGGCACCUCUUUAGCAACCGUGGUCCACUCCUCCAUUUCUGCUAUGCGUUGUAGUGACUCCUCUGCUCUGUCUUUGGUCUCUUUCAUAUCGGCCAUGAUUUCGUUUAGCUUUCCAUUAACCUCCUCCCUAAAAUUAUUUAACUCUCUCUUCAUGUCACUGGAGAGGUUAUCACGAAAGCAGCUCAAUUCUUCUUUCACAUUUGAACAGAUAGCUAAAAU